AUCAGGAGAUCUAUAUUAGGUCAGUUCACUCAACCCUGGUUUUCCUAUUUCAGCUUCCCUUGCAACUCCGUCAGUGGAAGCCAAGUUGGGGUAGACAUGGCACAAGGACAGCAAGGAAGAAAGAAAAAAAUGCAUCCCCUUUUUUGUUGUUAUUUUCUCAACAGUCUCUGGAAGAAAAGAAAAAGAAGAUCCAUCACCUUCCUUGCCACUUCAGCUGUGUCAGUUCAAAUGACUUCCCAAACAGUCUCUGGAACGCCAACUGUAAAAGAUGGAUUUAUUUGCUCAGUCUCCUUACUCAAGCAUGUAUCUUGGAUGGGUAUGCAGUCAGUCCUUUUUUUUUUUUUUUUUUUUUAAAUGCACAACUUUUAAGAUACAGUUAGCUCUGCUAUGAUAACUCAAAUUUGCUCCAAAAUGAUAGGUAAGAGAUAAUUGAAGCAUAACAUUAAUUUUGCAUUGGACUACAUGCAAUUUUCUCCACUAGAAACACAAGGUGAGUGCAAAAAAAAAAAAAAAAAAAUGCACCCAGUUGAAUGAAGCUAUGUGGGAGUAAACUAAACACAUAUAUGCACAUCUUAAAUAUGUACCAGUUACCUCUGUUUAUUAGUUAUUUGUGAGACACUCAUCCAUAUCUGUUCUUACAAUUUUCCCUCCUAUUUCAGAUAACCCUGCUUCCACCAUUGCAUACUAACUCACUAGCUAAAAACUGUCUUAUGCUCAUUCCUACAAGUAAAAUUCAGUGACAUAUAUAUUGUAGUAUUUAUGCACUUUUAAAUGAUUAACCUAUUUAAAAAUGCACUACUUCGUGUUACAGCAGCACUGACCGUAAUACCAAGAAUAAAAUAAACUCAAACUAUUGCAUGCUAUAAUAUAUAAUAUAUUCUCAGUUUUCACAGCAUAAAAAAUGUUGGAA
rnacentral:lncRNA from 1 species